GACUGAUUUCUCUGUCCCUUAAUUCUUAAAAUAAUGAACUUUAGUAUUUGACUCAGAACCCUCAUUUUCUCCAUAAUAGAACCCAAAUUUAUCCCCUUCUUCCCUGCAGUGAGGUCACAAUCCUGUGUUUGUGACAUAGCAGUCAGUUGCCAUGGAGAUGAUUGCUUUAUCACCAACUCCUCUUUGCAAUGACUUCACAGCAAGGUUAUGGAGAAGCAGAUGGGCUGUGAAGGAGACAAACCCUCUUGUCUAAACACAAAUCACAUUGAUAAUUAAUUAGCUGAAGCAGCAGGGGAAAUUUUGAAAAUGUGUGAAAGGAGCAGAUGCAGUCCUUCCUUUCUCUGGAAAACUGUUUGAUGACAAGAGGAAAGUAAAUUGAUCAGACCUCUGGAGCAGCAGCUGUAGGAGGAAAGAACCACCCCAACCACGUCUUGGUGACCUCUCCCUAUGCUUAAAGAAAACUCAUAAGCUCUCAGCACGAAUUAGCAUGGCCUCAUUAUGGAAACAGAAUUGGGGUCAGGAAAAGCCCCAGUGGGUAACGGCAGGGAAAAAAAUUCAAAGCAGCAUCUUAAACUCUACUGUCCACAUACGGUGGGAGGAGGUCAAGGGAGGAAGGCAAGAGAGAGAGGCAGAAUAAAUAAGCCUGGGAAAUUUAGGAGGAAAAGUGCAUGUUGAAAUCCGAAUUUUGAAACAUCUCAUUACCUACAGGAAGAUGCCUCCAGCUGAUGAAACGUUGUGAUCACAAAACUGCAUCUGACAAAUUGUGGGCUGGUAGCUUCUCCCAUAGAAACCCUCCUUGAGCUUCCAAAUCUCACCACUUACACGUCAGCUGGGAGUGAAGCAUGGCGACAGCCUCUGGCCCCAGCUUGCCUACCUUGGAUUCAGGAGGUCCUGGCAAGCCAUUUAACUUCACAGGGCCCUAGUUAACUCCCUCAGGCUAUACAUCACAGAGCAGGAACUAAAUGAACUGCAUCAGGAAAAGGAAUUUCCUCUCCACGAGUUCUCUACGCCAAUGAAAUCGCAAGUAUGGUCCAAACCAUAUUUUAAAACAUUACAUACAUAAUAAACUAUGCCUUUUAUUAACCACUGAGCAUCCAUUUCCUCUCAGUUCAUCAAGCUAAGAAAAACAUUUAAAAUUUAAAGAUGAUGCUUUAAAAAAUGGUUUGAGGGCAGCACUCCACCUAGUAGACGUUGAGCUCCUUCCUUCUCUCCUGUCACUCAGUCUUGAGGUUUCAGUAUAAAGAUGAGGAUAAGUCUUUAUCUGUUCCCAACCAAAAAAAAAGGCUGGUCCUUGGACCAGGGGGAAGCCAAGGCCAAAAGAGCAGAUGCUGACAAGCUGGAUGAGCAUCUAGAACAGAGCUGAUAAGAGGCAUAUGCUUGUUAUUUAAAGACCUAACCCAAUUAGGUUUAGAUCAGUGGAAGUUGGCUACCAGAUGAUGACUUUUUCUGUCGUUGCUGUUCCCUACAGCUAUUAAAACCAUCUGCUAAAGGUGGGGGGCUAUACAUUGUAAUAUUGUUCAAUAUAAUGUCUGGUUUUGCUGAA